rnacentral:rRNA from 1 species
AACGCGAAGAACCUUACCUGGGCUAGACAACGGUGGACCGCCUGAGAAAUCAGGCUUUCCCUUCGGGGACUGCCGGUUCAGGUGUUGCAUGGCUGUCGUCAGCUCGUGUCGUGAGAUGUUGGGUUAAGUCCCGCAACGAGCGCAACCCUUGUCUCAUGUUGCCAGCGGGUAAUGCCGGGGACUCGUGAGAGACUGCCGGGGUCAACUCGGAGGAAGGUGGGGAUGACGUCAAGUCAUCAUGCCCCUUAUGUCCAGGGCUUCACACAUGCUACAAUGGCCGGUACAAAGGGCUGCGAUACCGCAAGGUUAAGCGAAUCCUUUUAAAGCCGGUCUCAGUUCGGAUCGGGGUCUGCAACUCGACCCCGUGAAGUCGGAGUCGCUAGUAAUCGCAGAUCAGCAACGCUGCGGUGAAUACGUUCCCGGGCCUUGUACACACCGCGCAUA